rnacentral:rRNA from 1 species
UGAGGAAUAUUGGUCAAUGGACGAGAGUCUGAACCAGCCAUCCCGCGUGCAGGAUGACGGCCCUAUGGGUUGUAAACUGCUUUUCUGCGCCAAGAAACCCACCUACGUGUAGGUGGUUGACGGUAGCGCAGGAAUAAGCAUCGGCUAACUCCGUGCCAGCAGCCGCGGUAAUACGGAGGAUGCAAGCGUUAUCCGGAUUCAUUGGGUUUAAAGGGUGCGCAGGCGGGCUUGUAAGUCAGUGGUGAAAUACUGCCGCUCAACGGUAGAACUGCCAUUGAUACUGCAAGUCUUGAAUAUGGUUGAGGUAGGCGGAAUGUGUCGUGUAGCGGUGAAAUGCAUAGAUAUGACACAGAACGCCAAUUGCGAAGGCAGCUUACUAAGCCAUUAUUGACGCUGAGGCACGAAAGCGUGGGGAGCGAACAGGAUUAGAUACCCUGGUAGUCCACGCCGUAAACGAUGUUCACUCGCUGUCUGCGAUACACAGUAGGCGGCUGAGCGAAAGCAUUAAGUGAACCACCUGGGGAGUACGAUCGCAAGGUUG